UAUGAGAUAAUCCCUCCGUUUCAAUUUGUUUUUCCUGCUUUCCUUUUUAGUCCCUUUCAAACCUUUCAAACAGAACGGCUCUUUCUUUUUUGGUAACUCUUUAAUUUCAACUUCCCACAGGACAUGUUUAAAACCACAAACUAAAGGAUAUCUUGGUACAUUCCACUUAUCUUUAGUUUAAGAUCAUAGGAUUCAAAAGUUCAUCUAUUUUUUAAAACUCCGUGCCAAGUCAAACCGGACAAUCAAAUUGAAAUGGAAAGCGUAACUAAUACCAGGCAGUGCUGGGGAACAACUAAUUGGGUGACAAGCGAAUAUACAAUGAUGUGUUGAACAGUUGAAGUUUGUACAUCUCAUAUUAAGUACAGAAUGAAAUAUUAGACUACUACAUCCGUUUCAAAUCAUGUAUACAUCUACUCAUUGAAUAAAGAAAAAUCUAGAAUAAGAAUUGUAGUCGAAGCCUUAAAAGAAUUAAAACUCGUCAGUUGGUGAAUUAUUUUUAGUAUGCCCGCCACAGGGUUGUGGGCCUGCCUAAUAAAUUAGGAUAGAUAUUUUAUAGCGUGAAAAUAGUGUAAUGUCCUUGAGAAGUUGCUGCAAGGAUAACAACCAGUUGUACUUUAUUAGCUCAGGUGAGAUAUUAAAUGGUUGGUAUCCUUUUUUUUUUGCAUUUUCAUCUUUGUACGAAUUACUUUCUUGGUUGCAUAUCUUUGGUGGUAGACAUCUUAUUCAACAGAAGUCUUUAUUCCUCUGUAAAGAGAGAUUUUUCUUUUUUCUUUUUCAUAGGUUUCAUACCUUCUUUGUUGUAGUAAUGUAUAUGUCAGCACUCUGGGGGAGAAUUUAGUAUAGAAAUUGUGGUGCACGUAAACUAGAUAUUUUAUGUACACAUUCCCUAGAAUUGAGCUAAUAUUAUUUGUUGUCACCAUGCUCUAAAAGGGUAAUGGUGCACUUGAUUGAAUAUUAAGUUAUUUAUCCGAAGAAGUAUGGCUCCAUUCCCGCUAAGUACAUUUGUAUACUUCUUUAACUCAAAGAAAAUAAAAAAACCAUAUUUUUUAGAUAAUAGUUUACCCGAUCGACGAAAAUAACCUUUCUUUAUUUCAGAGCAGAGAGAAACUCAAAAAUACAAUUUUGCAAGAGGAACUUUCUUAACUUUGGAUACCUCUACCAUUAGGUCAUUCUAUCAUGUCAAAUAUCAUCUGUUUCCUAGCCCUAAAUCUUUUUCCCUCUUUGAUAUUCAUCCUCUUCGAUCACUUCAAUUUGUGUGUAGGUUACGGCAGUAAAGAGAUCACCCCACCCAGCCCCACCCCUGCCCCUGCAGAAGGGACUUCCUUUUUCAGAAACUUGCUUUCUAGAUUCUUUUCACAUCUUGUUUAUCAGUUCAAGUUGCAUGUCAUAGUGGAGUCCAUUGAAUGCGUUGGUUAAUGAAGGGAUUGCGGCCGAAUCCUCCGCUAUGGGAAGAAGCAAGAGCGCAACAGCUGCAAUAACAAACACUCACAUGUUAACACCCUCGAUGUUCUGAAAUGUUAAGUAAUUAGGUUCAUAGGUGUUUAGGUUAGUGAUGGCAGAUAGACCUCCUAUUCUCAUUUCCUCGUCUUAUCCACUACUCUUUGUUUGGAAAAAUAGGGAAGUGAAGGAGGGAGGAAGAGAGG
rnacentral:lncRNA from 1 species